CGCUGGCGGCGCGCCUAACACAUGCAAGUCGAACGAGCGAAGAGGAGCUUGCUUCUCUGAGCGAGUGGCGAACGGGUGAGUAACGCGUGAGGAACCUGCCUCAAAGAGGGGGACAACAGUUGGAAACGACUGCUAAUACCGCAUAAGCCCACGGGUCGGCAUCGACCAGAGGGAAAAGGAGCAAUCCGCUUUGAGAUGGCCUCGCGUCCGAUUAGCUAGUUGGUGAGGUAAUGGCCCACCAAGGCGACGAUCGGUAGCCGGACUGAGAGGUUGAACGGCCACAUUGGGACUGAGACACGGCCCAGACUCCUACGGGAGGCAGCAGUGGGGAAUAUUGCACAAUGGGGGAAACCCUGAUGCAGCGACGCCGCGUGGAGGAAGAAGGUCUUCGGAUUGUAAACUCCUGUUGUUGAGGAAGAUAAUGACGGUACUCAACAAGGAAGUGACGGCUAACUACGUG
rnacentral:rRNA from 1 species